CCGAGAUGAGUUCUCCCUGACCCUUUAAGGGUCCUGAAGGAACGUUGAAGACGACGACGUUGAUAGGCCGGGUGUGUAAGCGCAGCGAUGCGUUGAGCUAACCGGUACUAAUGAACCGUGAGGCUUAACCUUACAACGCCGAAGGUGUUU
rnacentral:rRNA from 1 species